rnacentral:rRNA from 1 species
AGGAAUAUUGGUCAAUGGGGGCAACCCUGAACCAGCCAAGUCGCGUGAAGGAUGAAGGUCUUAUGGAUUGUAAACUUCUUUUAUACAGGAAUAAAUUGGGGGACGUGUCCCCUUUUGCAUGUACUGUAUGAAUAAGGAUCGGCUAACUCCGUGCCAGCAGCCGCGGUAAUACGGAGGAUCCGAGCGUUAUCCGGAUUUAUUGGGUUUAAAGGGUGCGCAGGCGGGAUGUUAAGUCGGCGGUGAAAUUUUGCAGCUCAACUGUAAAAGUGCCUUCGAUACUGGCCUUCUUGAGUGUGGAUGAAGUAGGCGGAAUUUGUGGUGUAGCGGUGAAAUGCUUAGAUAUCACGAGGAACUCCGAUUGCGCAGGCAGCUUACUAAGCCACAACUGACGCUCAUGCACGAAGGCGUGGGGAUCAAACA